AUGGCGUGUAAGCUGAAUCAAAGAGGAAACAUACGAAAAAAACGCUUAUGUAGAAAAGCUCAGAGCCAACAACGCGAUUCUUCACAAAUUCGGCAUCGCGUUUUCAAAAUCAUCGCGUUUCACCACAGCUCCUCGUCGCGUUCGGAAUCAACACAAUCGUGUUUUCGGAUUUCAUCAUCUUCACGGAGCAUCGCUUUUCAGAAAUAGUAUCGUGUUCAUGGAUAGCGUCGUGCUUCAUAGUCUUCGUUCGCAUUUUGGAUUGCAUUUGUUCGCGUUUCAGAAAUUCUUCGCUCAUGAUUCGCGUUCGUUCUUAGCACUUGAUUCACGUUCGUUCUCCGCACUUGAUUCAUAGGUUCAUGGCAUCGGGGAUUCAACAACACUAAACGCGGAUUAAAGCAAACUCACUAGUUUCGACGCGACGGCAAAAACAAAAUUGAUUUGGGAAUGCUUGAAGCUUGGAAUGGUUUUGGCUUGGAGUGGCUUGAAGCAUGGAGUUUGGAAAUGGUUUGGAUUUGAAGGUUUUGUGAAUUUUAAAUUGGAAAAUAUAUAAUGGUUGUAAUUGAAAAAAAUGUGAAUGGGAUUUGCAAAUUAAUGUUGAAAGUAUGGUUUUAUGUAAUUUUAAUUUGAGAUUUGGAAUGGCCAAUGUAUGUUGAAAUUUAAAUGUAAAAAUGUAAAAUUGAAAUUGAAUUGUAAUUUGAAUUGAAUUGAAAUGAAA